rnacentral:lncRNA from 1 species
UGAAGACCAUCGGCUUCUUCAGAGCAUUCCCCACACCGGUCAUAGCCGCCAUCAUCCCUCUCGAGGUCCUCUGAGUCCUUGGGUUGAACAGAGAGGAUCGAUCGAUUGAUGGAGAGAAUACCGCAGAGGCAGACGGAACCUCCCUUCCUCUCCAGCGCCGGCGAUAUGGGCCUCACCGGCGGCGCCGCCUUCGGAGCGUCUCUCUCGGAUAUCCUCCUCUCCGGGAGCUCCAGCGCUCUGGACUCCGUCUUCGCAGCCAAGUCCCCUCCCGACCAGCAGCGGCGCCACCAGGCGCUGCGCACCUCCUCGGCGGUCUACCACUAUCAGCUGGAGCAGCUCCAGAGGCUGAUGGGGCAGCGCCACAGCUCCUCCGCCGCCGCCGCCUGGGCGAAGAAGGAGGCGAAGCACUACCGCGGAGUGCGGCAGCGGCACUGGGGAAAGUGGGUGGCGGAGAUCAGGCUACCCCAGAACCGCAUGAGGGUAUGGCUUGGUACCUACGACUCCGCAGAGGCCGCUGCCUACGCCUACGACCGCGCCGCCUACAAGCUCCGCGGCGAGUACGCGCGACUCAACUUCCCUGACCUCCGGGACACCAGUGGCGUCGCCGCCGGGUGCCGCCUCGGUGCUCUUAGGUCCUCCGUGGACGCCAAAAUCCAGGCCAUCUACCAGAGACUGAACCGGGAGAGGCGGAGCAAGAAGAAGGCCUCGGAAGCCCCCUCCUCUACCGUUCGCGUGGAGGUGAAGAGAAAGGUGGAGGAGGAAGAGGAGGAGGAGGAUGGGGAGAUGGGGGGCCGCCGCCGCCUCCUACUCUUUCUCUGGCCUGGUCGACUCGACCUCGUCUUCUUCCAUCUCCGACGAAAGCACCAUGAACUGGGAUUACCUGAUGGACGAGGC